CGGCACGCGACCCGGCAAGGGAAGGGCCGGCGACCUUGAGCGGGCGAGCAGCAGCUGCCGGAGCGUGGGGCUCUCCGGCUCUGCGGGCCGCACGAGGUCCAGCGCCAGCAGGAAGCAGUGUAAAGUUGUUUGGUGAUAAUGGAACCAAAGCAUUCCGGUGAAAUGUCCAGGCAUUUGGACAAGCAAAAUCAUGUCCUUAUGGAAACAUAUCGAGCAAUGUCCCAUGAGUUGCAUACACUACAAGUGAGCCUCAGAUACUACGAAUCUUCUAU